CUAGAUCUCUCUCUCUAGAUCUCUCUCUCUCUCUCUCUGUGUAUGUGUGUGUAGUUGUGUGGUCAUGGCUUGUCUUACAGCUGCAUUUGCACCUGCACCUGCACCUGCACCUGCCUCUGCCCCUGCAGAGAGCGAGUGAGAGGGAGUAGAAGAGAUCAGAUGGUGAGUGUGAUUUGUUCUCAAUCUGCAGGUGCAGUGGCAAAUGCAGCCAUAGGAGUAAACCAUGCAUCUUGAAGCCUCCUCUCACUUUCUCACUCUUCUAUCUGCCACUUCAAACGAUAUUAAUUGGUACUUUAUUUGCUUCAGCUAAUCUGAUCAUUGUGCUAGAUCUUUGUCCAACUUUUUAAUUUAUGGCCUGUUAUUAGUGAAACCAUGGUAUGAAGGUUCUCCAAAUGCAGAAAAAAUCAGAAGAGAACCGACUUGAAGAUUUUGUUUUGAUGCUCAAAUUUUGGUUUCUGCUUUCUAGCUACUGCAUCAUAAGAGUUUCAGUUUUCUCCUUUUCUUUAUUAAAUACUCUAUCUACUGAGAUUACUACCGGCAAAAAGAAAAGCAUAAAAUACAGUUGAACAGCCACGGCCAUCUUUCUAAUUUAUGAUCUGUAUUAAUUGGGCAUGCAUGUUUAGUUUAUACUUUAUGAAGCGGCUGAGGUUAGUGCAUGUAGCACAAGUUUUACCAAUUAUAUAUAGUUUCGUUUCCCCCUUCAGUACUUGUUUUCUCCCUCUCACUACGUACUUGUCCUCGCACAUUUUAACUAGAUGAAACUGAUUUGAAAGAAAUUGGACUUAGGGAGAUAAGAACUGGAUGAAAUCAGUUAAAACAACUUAAUGAAAUAAGUUGAGAAUCGGACGAAACUGAUUGAGAUAGGAUUGAGCUGAUAGAAAUCUCUUGUGUGUUAGAGGACUUUAUCCUAACUCAAAAAACAUAAGCUAACAGAUGAAGAAAUUGUUAAAAUAUAAAUUGUAAUUCUUUUUAUUUUUUAAGGAAAAGGUAGAAUGCUACCCGCGCUUCAUUCAUUCAGAAGGAGAACUAAGCUACAUGGGUGAGGCAUCAUAGGCCUCGAGGAUGGCGAAAACGAAAUGAAAAAAAAAGAAGUUAUUUUGGAAGUCUAAGAGUCAUUUUGGAAUUCUAAAGAAUAUUGAUUUUGAAAUUCUAAGAGUCAAGAAGUCUUAGAGUUAGUGAAGAGUUCAAUGAGGAAGCUCAAGGGUCAUUGAAAAGUCUAUAAAAAGGUUGUCAUGGCAAUUACAUGAGAUCAACCCCCCAAAAGACUAAGUUCUCUUGUACUUAGUCAAAUUUAUAAAAAUCCACCAUUUUCAUUUGAAAUAGUUAAAUUCUUUUAGCACCCAACAAAAUUGAUAUCAGAGCCAAGUUCUCUCGAGUCCUUCAUCUCAAAUCUAGCACUUCAUGACAACAAGUACUGGAGCAAGCUCAAGCAAAGCAUCAGCAAACAACAAGUAUCACCACCUUCAACUACAUGCAAAAUCAAGUACCAAUUUUUGACUGAGAUAGUUAUGAUUUUUGGAGCAUCCAAGAUGAAACUCUCUUUCUGUCACAAGACUUGUGGGAUUUGGUAGAAGGAGGCUACGAAGAACUACCAAAUCAAGAAGCAUUUGCAACAUGGACUCAAGCAAAGCAAAAUGAACAUAAGGAGAGCAAGAAAAAGGAUGCAAAAGCUUUGCUUUUCAUCCAACAAGGGGUAAGUAAAACUAUAUUUCCUAGAAUUUUGGGUGCAACUAAAUCAAACGAAGCUUGGAAAAUUUUUUAAAAAGAGUUUCAAGGCUCCGACAAAAUCAUCACUAUUAAGCUUCAAUUAUUGUGGUGUGAAUUUGAUAAUUUAGCCAUGAAAGAUAAUGAAAAUAUAAAGAUUUUUUCUCUAGAGUUGCUGGGACUAUAAAUCAAAUAAGAAGUUAUGGAGAUACAAUUGAAGAGAAACAGAUAGUUGAGAAAAUUCUAAGAAGUUUACUAGUUAAAUUUGAUCAUAUUGUCGUAGCAAUCGAAGAAUUGAAAGAUUUAUCUAUUUUUACUUUGCAUGAACUGAUGGGCUCUCUUGAGGCACAUGCACAAAGAAUGAGCAGGUUUACAGAGCACAAUAUAAAGCAAGCAUUUCAAUCCAAACUUACAAUCAAAGAAAGGAAAGCAGCAAGUGUGGAGCGAGAUGGCAAAGAUAGAAGACAAUUCCAAAGGAGAAAUCAAGAAAAUUGGUCUCGUGGCAAAGGUAAAGGCCGAAGUGGACAACCAACUGAAAGAAAUGGUAACUUCGAUUCUCAAUGUUUUAUUUGCAAAAAUUCUGGAUAUGAAUACAAAAAUUGUCGUUUUUGAUGCAAAAGAUACAAGAUUCCAAACCAUUCUGAAAGAGACUGUUGGUUUAAGGAUAAAAAAGAAAAAAAUAAAGCUAAUUUUUCUAAAGAAAAUAACAGUGAAUAAUUAUUUUAUUCUUGCAUGAAUGUCCAACAAGAAUCACAAGAAAUUAACUUGGUAUUUGGAUAAUGGCUGAGGUAAUCAUAUGACAGGGAAUCGAGACUUCUUAAUUUGUUGAUCUACACCAAGUCAAGCUUGGUAAUGGCAAGAGCUACAACAGAUUGAGGGCAAGACAAAAGGAGUGCUUUGAGAUCAGUUAUAAAUUCUGCAACCCUCUGCGGAAGGGUGCGCAAGAGCUCUCCCUCGACUUCAUGAUCUUGUUAGAAAAUGCGAAUCGUGUUCUGCCCUAACCGGAACGCUUACUCUAUGAACAAAAGGAUAUUGUAGUUCCAAGAGAAAUUGGGUGUAAGCUCUUCCACAUAUACCAUCGACUUAAGCACUUGGAACUACAAGGCACUUUCCCUACACAUUUAUGUUACAAGUGAUGCUAAAGAGAUUAGAAGGAGAGCAGUUGACGAACUAUACCGGAGUUACGUCCCUAAACUUGAAAAUAAGGUUUUUGCCUAUGAGAUGGGAAACAAAAAAAAAGAAAAAAAGAGUAAAAAAAAAAAUGAUUCACAGUAGAGUAGCUUCUUUGCCUGAUACGAAUCAUGAAUUUACUGUCUCUCUUUUGUUAAUUGUCAUAUAUAUUUUUUCAUUUGCUUCUUUAAAGCCAGCUCGUUGCAACACGUAUGUAACUUCACUAGUAAUAUAUGAAGUUUCAAUUUUUCUUA